AGGGUUUGAUCAUGGCUCAGGACGAACGCUGGCGGCGCGCCUAACACAUGCAAGUCGAACGAGAGAGAGGAAGCUUGCUUCCUCAAUCGAGUGGCGAACGGGUGAGUAACGCGUGAGGAACCUGCCUCAAAGAGGGGGACAACAGUUGGAAACGACUGCUAAUACCGCAUAAGCCCACAGCUCGGCAUCGAGCAGAGGGAAAAGGAGCAAUCCGCUUUGAGAUGGCCUCGCGUCCGAUUAGCUAGUUGGUGAGGUAACGGCCCACCAAGGCGACGAUCGGUAGCCGGACUGAGAGGUUGAACGGCCACAUUGGGACUGAGACACGGCCCAG
rnacentral:rRNA from 1 species